UGGGGAAUAUUGGACAAUGGGCGAAAGCCUGAUCCAGCCAUGCCGCGUGAGUGAUGAAGGCCCUAGGGUUGUAAAGCUCUUUCAGCGGGGAAGAUAAUGACGGUACCCGCAGAAGAAGCCCCGGCUAACUUCGUGCCAGCAGCCGCGGUAAUACGAAGGGGGCUAGCGUUGUUCGGAAUCACUGGGCGUAAAGCGCGUGUAGGCGGAUCGUUAAGUCGGGGGUGAAAUCCUGAGGCUCAACCUCAGAACUGCCUUCGAUACUGGCGAUCUUGGAGUCCGGGAGAGGUGAGUGGAACUCCUAGUGUAGAGGUGAAAUUCGUAGAUAUUAGGAAGAACACCAGUGGCGAAGGCGGCUCACUGGCCCGGUACUGACGCUGAUAUGCGAAAGCGUGGGGAGCAAACA
rnacentral:rRNA from 1 species